rnacentral:rRNA from 1 species
UUCUCCUGGAAACGGGUGGUAAUGCCGGAUGCUCCAGUUGGAUGCAUGUCCUUCUGGGAAAGAUUCAUCGGUAUGGGAUGGGGUCGCGUCCUAUCAGCUUGAUGGCGGGGUAACGGCCCACCAUGGCUUCGACGGGUAGCCGGCCUGAGAGGGCGACCGGCCACAUUGGGACUGAGAUACGGCCCAGACUCCUACGGGAGGCAGCAGUGGGGAAUAUUGCACAAUGGGCGCAAGCCUGAUGCAGCGACGCCGCGUGCGGGAUGACGGCCUUCGGGUUGUAAACCGCUUUUGACUGGGAGCAAGCCCUUCGGGGUGAGUGUACCUUUCGAAUAAGCACCGGCUAACUACGUGCCAGCAGCCGCGGUAAUACGUAGGGUGCAAGCGUUAUCCGGAAUUAUUGGGCGUAAAGGGCUCGUAGGCGGUUCGUCGCGUCCGGUGUGAAAGUCCAUCGCUUAACGGUGGAUCCGCGCCGGGUACGGGCGGGCUUGAGUGCGGUAGGGGAGACUGGAAUUCCCGGUGUAACGGUGGAAUGUGUAGAUAUCGGGAAGAACACCA